GACGAACGCUGGCGGCGUGCUUAACACAUGCCAGUCGAACGGAAAGGCCCUGCUUUUGUGGGGUGCUCGAGUGGCGAACGGGUGAGUAACACGUGAGUAACCUGCCCUUGACUUUGGGAUAACUUCAGGAAACUGGGGCUAAUACCGGAUAGGAGCUCCUGCUGCAUGGUGGGGGUUGGAAAGUGUCGGCGGUUGGGGAUGGACUCGCGGCUUAUCAGCUUGUUGGUGGGGUAGUGGCUUACCAAGGCUGUGACGGGUAGCCGGCCUGAGAGGGUGACCGGCCACAUUGGGACUGAGAGACGGCCCAGACUCCUACGGGAGGCAGCAGUGGGGAAUAUUGCGCAGUGGGCGGAAGCCUGAUGCAGCAACGCCGCGUGCGGGAUGACGGCCUUCGGGUUGUAAACCGCUUUCGCCUGUGACGAAGCGUGAGUGACGGUAAUGGGUAAAGAAGCACCGGCUAACUACGUG
rnacentral:rRNA from 1 species